UUUUUUUUUGGAUUUUU
rnacentral:sRNA from 1 species